rnacentral:rRNA from 1 species
AAUGCACGCAAGUGCGAUGGGGGGACUCCGAGUGCAGUCUUCCAAAACGGAAGGCCGCUUUUCUGCACUUUAAGCAGGUGCCGAAACAAGGGGUGGGCAAGACGGCUGCCAGCCGCCGCGGUAAUAGCCGCACCCCGAGUGGUAGUCAUUGUUAUUGGGCUUAAAGUGUUCGUAGCCGGACACACAAGUCUGCUGUGAAAUCCAUGCGCUUAACGUAUGGACAUGCAGCGGAUACUGUGUGUCUAGGAACCGGACGGCGUCGAGGCUAUUCCCGGGGUAGGGGUGAAAUCCUAAAAUCCUGGGAGGAGCACCUGUGGCGAAAGCGCUCGACGAGUACGGAUUCGACGGUGAGGAACGAAAGCCAGUGGAGCAAAGCGGAUUAGAUACCCGCGUAGUACUGGCUGUAAACAUUGUGCGUUUGAUGUCGGACAACCUCCGAGGUUGUCCGGUGCCGAAGUGAAAACGUUAAACGCACCGCCUGGGGAGUACGGUCGCAAGGCUGAAACUUAAAGGAAUUGGCGGGGGAGCACGGUC